UUGGAGGGCAAGUCUGGUGCCAGCAGCCGCGGUAAUUCCAGCUCCAAUAGCGUAUAUUAAAGUUGUUGCAGUUAAAAAGCUCGUAGUUGAAUUUCGGGGUCAGUAGGUUGGUCAUGGCACUGCUAUGUACUGGUCUCACUGAUUCCUCCUUCCUGAUGAGCCGUAAUGCCAUUAAUUUGGUGUUGCGAGGAAUCUGGACUGUUACUUUGAAAAAAUUAGAGUGUUUAAAGCAGGCUAACGCUUGAAUACAUUAGCAUGGAAUAAUGAAAUAGGACGUUCGAUCUUAUUUUGUUGGUUUCUAAGAUUGACGUAAUGAUUAAUAGGGAUAGUUGGGGGCAUUAGUAUUCAAUUGUCAGAGGUGAAAUUCUUGGAUUUAUUGAAGACUAACUACUGCGAAAGCAUUUGCCAAGGAUGUUUUCAUUAAUCAAGAACGAAAGUUAGGGGAUCGAAGACGAUCAGAUACCGUCGUAGUCUUAACCAUAAACUAUGCCGACUAGGGAUCGGAUGAUGUUAAUUUUUUAAUGACUCAUUCGGCGCCUUACGGGAAAC
rnacentral:rRNA from 1 species